UACGUAGGGUGCGAGCGUUGUCCGGAAUUAUUGGGCGUAAAGAGCUUGUAGGCGGUUUGUCGCGUCUGCCGUGAAAAUCCGGGGACUCAACCCCGGACUUGCGGUGGGUACGGGCAGACUAGAGUGUGGUAGGGGAGACUGGAAUUCCUGGUGUAGCGGUGAAAUGCGCAGAUAUCAGGAGGAACACCGAUGGCGAAGGCAGGUCUCUGGGCCACUACUGACGCUGAGAAGCGAAAGCGUGGGGAGCGAACAGG
rnacentral:rRNA from 1 species